rnacentral:rRNA from 1 species
UACGGGGGGAGCAAGCGUUGUUCGGAUUUACUGGGCGUAAAGGGCGCGUAGGCGGCGCAACAAGUCACUUGUGAAAUCUCCGGGCUUAACCCGGAGCGGCCAAGUGAUACUGUCGGACUAGAGUACAGAAGGGGCAACUGGAAUUCUCGGUGUAGCGGUGAAAUGCGUAGAUAUCGAGAGGAACACCUGCGGCGAAGGCGGGUUGCUGGGCUGAUACUGACGCUGAGGCGCGAAAGCCAGGGGAGCGAACGGG